GUCCAAUUAUAUGAUUAUAUGUACAGUUAUAUACUUAUAUACACAUAGUAUACAUAUACGCACGCUCACAGACAAAGCACACACAGAGACAGGUUAGGCCUGGUUCACACAAAAUCGCCAAGCAGCCGCAGACAGCCGCAGACAUGUGCCGAAUUUUGAACACAAAUGCAGAUUCGCACAGACUGUCUGAGACCGGAUCGGCGACGGAUCGGGAAAGCUGAACUUGGUUCAACUUUCCCGAUCCGUCGCAGAUCGUUCACAUAAAAAUUCGGCACAUGCCCGCGACAGUCCGCGACCGCUCAACGACUCUAUGUGAACCAGGCUUUACACACACAGACAGGUUACACACAGACGCGUAAAGGCCACUUCCCACCGCA